rnacentral:lncRNA from 1 species
CAAGGGCAGCCCGUGCAGCAACUACAGCAGGUGGACAUCUAAGCUUCAUGCCAGGAGGCAGUUGAAGAGACGAUGCCACAAGGGGGAGUACACCACUGACAGCUCUAUAAGAUUUAGCAAUUGGACAGUUCCCUGUUUCUAACCACUCAUUUCCCAGUGCCUCAUGCUUUGAGGUGUUUCCUUUCUGGAGUAUCAGAAACAAAACAUAUCAUUAUUAGAAACAUGAAAAAUAAUCAGCUUGAAUUGAAACAUGAAGAAUAAAGUUUUCAGUUCGAUGAGCGGUUGGAUGGAUAAAUGUCUGCUGGUACAUUUUUUCACUGAGCAAUCAACACAUGCCAUUUCCAGUUAAAUUGAGAAGUUAAUACAUUCAGCUGGAAAAGCAUCUUAUAGGUAGAGCCACUGGAAAACAACAGUCAAGGUGAAAUCUUUCAAACAAUUGCUUUAUUCCCCUGAUUGAAAAAAGUUAACUUGAAUGGUGAAGAAUGCGCAACUACCUGAGAAGAUGGAUCACUUUUGUUGGUGGAAUCAGAUCUCUUCUUUUGAUUCUUCCACUUGUCAUUGAAGGAACCAAAGCCAAAUGGUCCACCUGGGCCAAAUGCAGAUAAACUAAUAGUGGCAGCUUUUGCUGCUAAAGGGUUGAAUUGGGGUGUUGAGUCAGGUUCCAAAAUGUCAUUACGGAAAUUAGACCUGUUCAGUGGAACCACCCCAUCUUUCCCAUGAAAUAGUUUAAAUGCCAUAUCAAAAUUUGGACCAUCUUCAAAUAUUGGACCUUUGGCUCCCCUCACCUAGAGAAACAAUAAAACUUCAGCUGCUAAAUCAACUUUAAUAAUUUAAGGUUAGCAUGAAGCUAGAUAGGCAAAAAGGUGCUCAUGAUAGAGAGCAACAACUUACAGGACUGGGAAAAUUCACAGAAAAAAAUGAGAAAUUAGUUGGCUUGUUGAUGUUUCGCAAAAAAGGGCAUCUCUGAACGUUCUUCUCAUCGAAUUGACAAUAAGAUGUGUCUUCAUUGAACCCCUUGAACAAAAAAUCCAUUGCUUCCUGUUGUACACUCAAAUUUAAGGAGAUAGAAAUUGUGAAAGUAAAAGAAACAUGGUACCAUAUAGAAUCAGCUAGGAAUUGCAGUAGAAUUAUAAUUGCAAUAUUGGCAUGCUCAAUAACUAAGUUCCAUGAAUAGCUACCCAACUUGAGAAUUGACCCAAGUGUUAAUAUUCAAUAAAGAUGUGCAUAGAUCUCAAAUGAAUCACGUUCAGACAGCACAAAUAAUUACAAUGAACUCCAAAAUAGUUCAGGAAAAAGGUCUGUUUAGUUGAUAUCUAAUGAUUAUGAUCAAUCAUUAUGCUUCAUUCAAAUAGAAUUAUGGAGAUUGCAGGCAAAAAGGGAACCUAAUAAUAUUUUGUUGGAUAAAAAUAUAAUCUACUCUCCUCUUAAUGUCCCAGAAUUCAUAAAUAUUUCACUAACAAGAAACCAAAAACAAAGAAAUUUAUCAAUUUCUUCUUGAUCCAAGAAAAAGGGAAAUGAAUAUGAGGCUAAAUGGGCAGAAUUGGAAUUUUCAUUUACUGAAGUAAGGGCACAGAAAUAGAAUUCAAAGCAAAAUGAAAUCGAGAACAAACAAUUCGCCAUAUAAUUCAAUUAUCAAUCCCCACAGAGAAAACCACAAAAUUGAAGAAACCCAUUACUGAAUUUCAUGACAAGAGAAUUGAGCAAAUGGGUAUGAGAAAAAAAGAGGAGAAGAAGAGAAUUACCUGGUGAAGAGCUGGUAAGUGCUGCAAGACGCGUGGUCGACACUGGACACAAACAAGAACGAGGGACGAUGUGGGUAUUUUGAGAUUUUGAUGGGGCCUUUAAGAUUGUGGCUGCUGCUUCUCCUUUUUCGGACUUGGAAUUUGUAGACUCCGGCUUCUAUUAUUUGUUUUUGGAUGGAGAUUGGGGAAUUGAAAUACGAGAUCUCUCAUAUAUACUUGGAUAUACUUAUAAAUUUAUGUGUGUGCAUUUCCUAUUUAUCACCUUGUAAAUCUAUUUAUUAAUGAUUAAAUAAUUAUGAAAAUUUUGCACUAUCAUAAAAUUAAUUAUUUAAUUUUUAUUUUCUUGAAAAGAUAAUGUUAUAAAUUUUGCACUAUCAUCUAUUUAAAUUCUUAAAAUUUGUUUCAUAUUCAAAUAAAUUUGGUUAAAGUUUUUAUGUAAAUUCAAACAAAAUUUUUAAAUUAAAAAACAACCUUUCAAAUUUUAAAAAUAUAUCAAAUAAAUAUUUAUAGUGAAAUACAUUUUUUAUAUUUUAAAAAUAAAUUAAAUAAUUGUUUACUUUCAUUUUUUAAAAUUUUUUCCAUGAUCAAUUUCAUCUCUUUAGAACUAAUUUCUUUAGUGAUAUAUAUAAGCUUAUGUCAUUUUCUCCCCUAAUUAGAUUUCAAUUCUUGAUUAGACUGAGUAGUAAAAGGUGAAAUAAGAAAAAGAAAAUGAAGUUUUGAUUUUGAGUAUAAUGUAAAUUUACAUAUAUUAUUAAAAAAUAUACAUAACAUAUAAUAAUAAAAUUUAAAUAUUAAAGUAUAAUUUAUUCUAAAAAAAUAAAAAAAUAUACAUAACAUAUAAUAAUAAAAUUUUAAAUUAAAUAAAGUGGAAAACAAGAGAAUAAAUAUAAAAUGAAUAAAAGAUAAAAAUAAAAAUAUAUAAAUGAAAAUUAUACUUCCAAGCUUUAAGUUUUAUUGAUUUAUUUUAAAGUCUUAUUGAUUUAUUUUAAUGUUGAUCGACUUGUUUGGACUUAUAAAAUUGAAAGAUUUACGUAAUUAUUAAUUUAUAGUUUAAGGGUUAAAAUAGUCAUUUUCCCUAAAUUUUCCACAUAAAAAUAUGCAAAAGCGAGAAGACCAGGCGUUUCCCUCUCAAAAUCCUGGCGCUCUUUUAGUUUACUCUCAGCUAGGGUUUUUCAAAUCUACACUUUUUUUCGCUCAUUCCGAUUAAUCGCUUUUCUCUUGCUUUCCACCUAUCCAAACACCAAAAUUUUCGUGUUCACCCAUUAAAAAUUCUUCUAAUUAAUUUUUCUCGCUCUCCAAACGAUCAAUUUCCCGCACUCCCAGGAGUGUUGAAUGGGGAUGGUGAAUCUGACGGAGGGAGCGAUUUCAAAGAUAACGAGCGGACGGGCAACGGCCGCAGAGUUGAAGCCAACGCUGCAGGUGACAGAGCUGAAGCAGGUGCAGACCAAGCAGCCCCAACAGAGUGACCGGUUCCGCCUCGUGCUUUCAGAUGGGUCUCACUUACAGCAAGCAAUGCUGGGGACUCAGAUUAACCAUUUGGUUAAAGAUGGACACUUGCGCCCUGGUUCUGUUGUCCAGUUGAUUCAGUACACUUGUACCACCGUUCAAGGACGCAUGUAAGCUUGGCCCAUGUUAUUAUAAGUCUUUCUUUGCAUAUAUAUGUUCAUGUUUAUAACCAGACUAAUGGAAACGAAUUCUAUAGUUAAAGUAUUUAAUAAUGUAUUAUGAGAAGUUACUUUAAAGGCCUACCUAUAGAAGUGUUCCCUAUCUCAAAGUCAUGCAGCUAUUCAGCAAUAUUUGUGAUUAUUAUUUGUGGAAUUGCUGGUGGAGCAUGAAUGUAACUAAAUAAUAAAAGAUAUUAUUUGACUACCUUAAGGGAUAUGCGGUAAUAAUUUAACGGAAGAAUGAAAUAGUAUGUUGGUUCACAAAGCUGUCUUUGAUGAUUCAAGUUAAGUGAAUGAAAAGGAUGGUUAUUGAAGGGAAUAAAUAAAUGAAAGGUCAAUUUUUUAGUUUUAGCUGUGACUUGUGUGACAAAAGAGGAUCUCUCUGGGUAUCAAUUUACAUCGCUCUACUCUGCUAGUUCUUGGAUUGUUGGACCCUUAAUUGUUUGUUUGUUUGUUGUUGUACAGUCCUUUGUCAUAUUCUUGCGGUUGACAUUAUGAUUUUUUGCUUUACUGAAAGCAGGAUUAUUAUCAUCCUGGAAUUGAUUGUGAUAGUUGAAGAAUGUGCUCUCAUGGGACAUCCUGUGUCAGCACAAAAAUCUUUGGGGCCUCCACAAUCCUCCACUGAUCAACCANNNNNNNNNNNNNNNNNNNNNNNNNNNNNNNNNNNNNNNNNNNNNNNNNNNNNNNNNNNNNNNNNNNNNNNNNNNGUCAUUAUGGAAACCAGUAUAGUGCUAGGUUUCCUACAGCUAAUUAUUCUUGUAACAGCUGUGGUGCUACUACUCAUACCUCAUCAAAUUGCCCUAGUAUCAUGAAUGCUCCCAGGCAGUCUGAGAGAGGGGCCUAUGUCAAUAAUACAUCUUCUAUGGGCAGUGGUGGUGGUGGUGAAUGCUACAAAUGCCAUCAAAUUGGGCAUUGGGCAAGGGAUUGCCCAGGGCUGACUGCUGUUCCUCCGGCUUAUGGUAGCUCUGGGAGGUUUGGGGGCAUAUCGAAGCCACAGUUCAGCGGUUUCUGAAGUAUCUGGAAAGAUGCAGCACAAGUAUGUAAAAUAAGCUGCCUGCUUUGUUGAAUAUAAUGGAUAGUGUUUGAAGUUUUGAAUUUGGUGUUUUGCAUUAGGGUUUAUGAAGCUUUGUGUACAGAAUUUUGGGACCAUAAAUAGUAUCUUUUAUAGUUUAAUACUAUUCAAAGGAUGCUAUGGGUCAAAGCUACAAUAUCUAUCUGAGUUUGAUCGUUUUCCUUUUAUAUCUGGUUCCGACUCCCACAAUUACCUUAUCCUUUUCAAAAUAGUUCCUGUAUUAUGUUAUAUUAUGCAUUGUGUUUGUAGACUACAGUUUCUCCAACUGGGUUUUCUUUUUCCAAUUAUGUUGGGAUACCUUUGUGUUGGUGAUCGUACCAGUUAAAAUGUUUUAUGGGCCUUCUAUAGAUAGAGUUUCUUUUCUAGCUUAAUGGCAUUGUGUUCCACAACUAAAGGGUUUCAGCUUGAAAAGAGCCAACUUUAAUAUAAAUAUUCUGAAACGAGCGAGCUAAAUUUGAGUUGUUUGAUAAAUUUAACGAAUUGAUUUGUAAAUAUAUUUAUUUAGUUUUAAAUUUAAUAUUAUGUAGCUUGAGUUCAGAAUAUAAAUUUCAACUAUAAAAGGUUUUUAACAAGUCAGCCCUAAUUUUUCAAAACAGUCAGCUCUAAUAUUUCGCGACUCAACUCUGAUUCGGUUCAUUUCCUGCACAAACUCCUUUUAGAUUAGAUCAUAGUGAGAAAUUGUUGCUUUUCUACUUACCUCGUUUCUUUUUCCUUCGUCUCAUUAUUAGAGUGGAACAUACAGUUCUUUCAUUUGUCAUUCAACUCAAUUUAUUUUCAUUUACUAAAGGCUUACAAAACGUAAAUUGGGAUCACAUGUAUAUAACAACAAAAUUGCCAAAUCUCCCAAUCCUUUUGAUUAUUCUCUCCUUUUUGUCUGCUAUUUCUCCUCUUUUUCUUCUGCAAAAGCUUUGUCUUCUCAGCCCUCAAUUCAGUAGCAAAAGUGCAACUCUAAACUCAGUUGGAUUCUUGCAAUGGUCUCAUGCAAAUCCCAGAAAUCAUUACUGGUAAACAAAAUUGUUAAGUGGGAAUCUCUUUUUGAACUUCAAGCAACUUCACAAAAUAAUCUUUAAGCUGCUCGCGAGAUUAAGAAUUUCAUGAAAUACAAACAUAUUUAUUUCAUAAACAUAAAGCGUUCUGCACGAGAACUGAGUUUGGUGUCAUCUUUAACACAACAGUUCAUGAAAGUAUGAGGAAUAGAGUCAUAAGGAUACGAUGAACUGCAGAUAUUUUACAAUCACCAGCUAUUGAUAAUGGAUGUAAGUUCUAUUUCACCCUCUAGUUGCAGCCUGUGAUAUUAGCAACACACGUUAUUUGAUGAGGAAGUGGGUCCAGCAGCCUUGAUAUAGAGUGGAUCCCAUGUCAUCCCUUCUUUACCACAUUGACCACCUGCACUGCAACUAACCUGCGUCGUGCUAUACCCCGUGGCUGCCACUGCAGCAGCAAUUGCUGUCUCUGCUGCUAUGCUAUUCCUCUCAGCUACCGCUUUGAGUCGGUGCCUCUCAGCUCUAGAACCAAUAACUUGCCCCAGGAUAGAAGCUCCAAUGGUCAGAGCCAUAGCAGUUUUGGGCAUCACAACAGACUUCCUAAGCAUAGCUAUGAAGGGCACGGCUGCAUGCACUGCUGCAAACCAUGAUAGUGAAAACUUCUUAGUAUGUUCCUUCCACACGCCCAAGGGCACAUUUACUGCCAUGCCCAAGAGAGCAAUGACAAGCAUCUUCUCGGGUAGUGGCUGAGGACGCAAGGUUUUAACCAGGGCUGUCCGUGCAAGGGCAGCCCGUGCAGCAACUACAGCAGGUGGACAUCUAAGCUUCAUGCCAGGAGGCAGUUGAAGAGACGAUGCCACAAGAGGGAGUACACCACUAACAGCUCUAUAAGAUUUAGCAAUUGGACAGUUCCCUGUUUCUAACCAUUCAUUUCCCAGUGCCUCGUGCUUUGAGGUGUUUCCUUUCUGGAGUAUCAGAAACAAAGCAUAUCAUUAUUAGAAACAUGAAAAAUAAUCAGCUUGAAUUGAAACAUGAAGAAUAAAGUUUUCAGUUCGAUGAGCAGUUGGAUAAAUGUCUGCUGGUACAUUUUUUCACUGAGCAAUCAACACAUGCCAUUUCCAGUAAAACUGAAAAGUUAAUGCAUUCAGCUGGAAAAGCAUCUUAUAGGUAGAGCCACUGGAAAACAACAGUCAAGGUGCAAUCUUUCAAACAAUUGCUUUAUUCCCCUCAUUGAAAAAAGUUAACUUGAAUGGUACAGAAUGUGCAACUACCUGAGAAGAUGGAUCACUUUUGUUGGUGGAAUCAGAUUUCUUCUUUUGAUUCUUCCACUUAUCAUUGAAGGAACCAAAGCCAAAUGGUCCACCUGGGCCAAAUGCAGAUAAACUAAUAGUGGCAGCUUUUGCUGCUAAAGGGUUGAAUUGGGGUGUUGAGUCAGGUUCCGAAAUGUCAUUACGGAAAUUAGACCUGUUCAGUGGAACCACCCCAUCUUUCCCAUGAAAUAGUUUAAAUGCCAUAUCAAAAUUUGGACCAUCUUCAAAUAUUGGACCUUUGGCUCCCCUCACCUAGAGAAACAAUAAAACUUCAGCUGCUAAAUCAACUUUAAUAAUUUAAGGUUAGCACGAAGAUAGAUAGGCUAAAAGGCAAAAAGGAGCUCAUGAUAGAGAGCGACAACUUAC